CUCAUUAAAUCAGUUAUAGUUUAUUUGAUGGUCUCUUUGUUCAUCUUUUUACCUACUUGGAUAACCGUGGUAAUUCUAGAGCUAAUACAUGCGCAAGGUCCCGAGCGCGGAGGGUAGGGCUUCGACGGCUCUAUCCUUGCAUGCGUAGAGGGAUGUAUUUAUUAGGUUAAACAACCAGCAUCUUUUCAUUUCUGGUGGAUUCAUAGUAACUCUUUCGGAUCGCAUUCAUG
rnacentral:rRNA from 1 species